rnacentral:sRNA from 1 species
AUGGGGAAUUUGGCAUAUUCUAUGUAAUAUCAGCCAUUUUUUAGCCUUAAAGGUCAAAAGAAUAGACCCGGCAUGUUAGUUCUAACUCCCACUCGGGAAUUAGCACUUCAAGUAGAAGGAGAAUGUUGCAAAUAUUCAUAUAAAGGGCUUCGGAGUGUUUGUGUAUAUGGUGGUGGAAAUAGAGAUGAACAAAUAGAAGAGCUUAAAAAAGGUGUAGAUAUCAUAAUUGCAACUCCCGGAAGAUUGAAUGAUCUGCAAAUGAGUAACUUCGUCAAUCUGAAGAAUAUAACCUACUUGGUUUUAGAUGAAGCAGACAAGAUGUUGGACAUGGGAUUUGAACCCCAGAUAAUGAAGAUUUUGUUAGAUGUGCGCCCAGAUAGGCAGACAGUUAUGACCACUGCUACAUGGCCUCAUUCAGUUCAUCGCCUCGCACAAUCUUAUUUGAAAGAACCAAUGAUUGUCUAUGUUGGUACAUUGGAUCUAGUUGCUGUAAGUUCAGUGAAGCAAAAUAUAAUUGUAACCACCGAGGAAGAGAAAUGGAGUCACAUGCAAACUUUUCUACAGAAUAUGUCAUCCACAGACAAAGUCAUUGUCUUCGUUUCUCGAAAAGCUGUUGCGGAUCACUUAUCAAGUGACCUAAUACUUGGAAAUA